rnacentral:rRNA from 1 species
UGGGGAAUAUUGCACAAUGGGAGCAAGCCUGAUGCAGCCAUGCCGCGUGUAUGACGAAGGCCUUCGGGUUGUAAAGUACUUUCAGCGGGGAGGAAGGUGUUGAGGCUAAUAACCUCAGCAAUUGACGUUACCCGCAGAAGAAGCACAGGCUAACUCCGUGCCAGCAGCCGCGGUAAUACGGAGGGUGCAAGCGUUAAUCGGAAUUACUGGGCGUAAAGCGCACGCAGGCGGUCUGUCAAGUCGGAUGUGAAAUCCCCGGGCUCAACCUGGGAACUGCAUUCGAAACUGGCAGGCUAGAGUCUUGUAGAGGGGGGUAGAAUUCCAGGUGUAGCGGUGAAAUGCGUAGAGAUCUGGAGGAAUACCGGUGGCGAAGGCGGCCCCCUGGACAAAGACUGACGCUCAGGUGCGAAAGCGUGGGGAGCAAACA